UACGUAGGGUGCAAGCGUUAAUCGGAAUUACUGGGCGUAAAGCGUGCGCAGGCGGUGAUGUAAGACCGUUGUGAAAUCCCCGGGCUCAACCUGGGAACUGCAUUUGUGACUGCAUGGCUGGAGUGCGGCAGAGGGGGAUGGAAUUCCGCGUGUAGCAGUGAAAUGCGUAGAUAUGCGGAGGAACACCGAUGGCGAAGGCAAUCCCCUGGGCCUGCACUGACGCUCAUGCACGAAAGCGUGGGGAGCAAACAGG
rnacentral:rRNA from 1 species